UACGUAGGGUGCGAGCGUUGUCCGGAUUUAUUGGGCGUAAAGAGCUUGUAGGCGGCUCGUCACGUCGGGUGUGAAAACUCGCGGCUCAACCGCGAGCCUGCACCCGAUACGGGCGGGCUAGAGUUCGGCAGGGGAGACUGGAAUUCCUGGUGUAGCGGUGGAAUGCGCAGAUAUCAGGAGGAACACCGGUGGCGAAGGCGGGUCUCUGGGCCGAUACUGACGCUGAGGAGCGAAAGCAUGGGUAGCGAACAGG
rnacentral:rRNA from 1 species